UACAGGGGGUGCAAACGUUGCUCGGAAUCAUUGGGCGUAAAGAGCUCGUAGGCGGUGUGUCGCGUCGGCCGUGAAAACCUGCAGCUUAACUGUGGGCUUGCGGUCGAUACGGGCAUCACUGGAGUUCGGCAGGGGAGACUGGAAUUCCUGGUGUAGCGGUGAAAUGCGCAGAUAUCAGGAGGAACACCGGUGGCGAAGGCGGGUCUCUGGGCCGAUACUGACGCUGAGGAGCGAAAGCGUGGGGAGCGAACAGG
rnacentral:rRNA from 1 species